GCAUGAAUAUACAUAACGGUUACUUUACGAGUUGACUUUCAGUCGGAGGGCGAACAUUUACCUCGGCCCACCAACUAGCGGUUUUGGCUAAUGUUGUUUAGCUUCAAGGCAAGCUAACAGGCCGCCCUUCCUAAGUUUCAGAUGUUGUGUGUAUAUUUGUCAUAAUGACUUGAUGUAGUAGUGCUAAAAAUAAACCUUUAUAUGAUCUCUUAGUGAACUUCUCAAAAUAUAUGGGCUAUAAUGUAUAAUGUACUUGGGAUGGGUUUAUCGUUACCCAUUGUUUCUGAUGGGGCGUUAAUUGGUGUGGCACCCCGGAAAUCUUCCUCACUUCUGGCAAGGGAUUGGGAAGUAAAUAAAUGCUACUGGAUCGAGACCCCUCAUCUCUCCUGCCUCUUCAAUCAUCCAAAGACUGUUAAGUUUGUUAUUUUAAUGUAAUGGUCGGUUCAUGUCCGUUACAUUGACUUGACUUGUCAUUGGGUCUGAUUUUAAAUGUGCCAUAUAGUUCAAUGUGGGAGCAGGUUCACACACUAAAUAAGACACUAAGGUCAAGCACAAUCAGAUUUUUUUUUUUUUUUAAACAAUUCUCAGAGCAGAGUAGAGCAGACGUUUCAGGUUACUGCCAUCAGAGAGUAGUGACUUGACCUUAGUGUCUUAAGUGUGCUCCCACAUUGAACUCUACUUUUUGGGUCCAUGCACCUACUUAUUUCUAAACAUCUAAGCGCAAUUAUACCCCUGCCUCCUGAUGUGCCAUAUAACCUGUAUCUCUCCAAUUGUGUGUGUGUGUGUGUGUGUGUGUGUGAGAGAGAGAGAGAGAAUGUGUGCACGCAGAUAUAAGAAGUUGGGGUUGAUGAUCCACAUGAUGGUGAUGGACCAGGACAGCUCUGGACCUCCUGACUGGCAGCUCCAUCCUCAACCUCUUCCUGCCCUUCACACAUGUGCAGGCAGAGAGGCAGUUUUCUGAAGGAUGGUUGAUGUCAGUACCAACAUGUUGUGAUGGAGGCUUCCACCUGAGCUGAACACAGAAACUUGCACACAGUGAUGGAAGCAGUCGUUCCUGUUCAGCAUUGAUAUGCCGGUAAUGGGUUUGAUGAGCCACAGCAUGGUGAUGGGCAAUCAGCAUCAGGACCAGGGCACAGAACAGGGCACAGAACCUCCUGCCCUGCCUCUUCAUCCUCAACCUCCAAUCUUCCUGCUCUUCACACAUGUGCAGGCACGGAGCCAGCUUUCAGAGGGAGGGCUGAUGACACCAGCAACUUCGGAUCUGAACCUGAUCAACCCAGCACCAACCACUGUGCCGCUCCUCCUCUGCCAACUGCACCACAUGGCUCCACCAUCUCAAAAAGGCACAGACACUACUCCACUUCCUGCGAAGGAUGAGAGAAGAGCCGACCUCCCCA